rfam:Triticum aestivum genome assembly, contig: Triticum_aestivum_CS42_TGACv1_scaffold_049619_1BS
CUACUACUCCCUCCGUUCCAAAUUACUCGUCAUAGAAGUGGAUGUAUCUAGAACUAAAAUACAUCUAGAUACAUCCAUACCUGCGACAAGUAAUUCGGAACGGAGGGAGUAUUUC